GAUGAACGCUGGCGGCGUGCUUAACACAUGCAAGUCGAACGGAAAGGCCCAAGCUUGCUUGGGUACUCGAGUGGCGAACGGGUGAGUAACACGUGGGUGAUCUGCCCUGCACUUCGGGAUAAGCCUGGGAAACUGGGCCUAAUACCGGAUAGGACGAUGGUUUGGAUGCCAUUGUGGAAAGUUUUUUCGGUGUGGGAUGAGCUCGCGGCGUAUCAGCUUGUUGGUGGGGUAAUGGCGUACCAGGGCGUCGACGGGUAGCCGGCCUGAGGGGGUGGAGGGCCGGAUUGGGAUUGUGAGGGGGGCCGGAGUGGGACGGGAGGCAGCAGGGGGGAAGAUUGGACAAUGGGCGACAGCGUGAGGGAGCGAGGCCGCGGGGGGGUUGAGGGCUUUCGGGGGGUAAGCACCGCUCGCUGGGGACGAAGCGUUGUUGUGACGGUACCUGGAGAAGAAGCACCGGCUAACUACGUG
rnacentral:rRNA from 1 species